UCAUGGCGUCCUGUUUCCCUGCCUAUGAUUCUCUCUUCUUCGGCGGUGUGAGAUUGUGUCUUGUGUUAAAUUUCAUGUUCAACGAAGCCGACUAAAGUGAAAUUUCGUGUGUAAUCGAACAAAUACUUCAUCCUCAUUCCUGGCUAUGGUGAGUAACGUUCAUUAGCGUCAGGUUUCAACCGGCAUUCGUUUGUUUGGUUUGUUGACAACACCUUAUGCACGUACGGCGGCCCAAGAGAUUUCUGUCUACUGGUGUGUUGUAUAUCGAGUGUGUGCGACUCGACAACUUUAUGUUUCUCUACUCGUCGUUUUCGUACCGACUGGACCAAAGUUGAUUUCUUUUUCAUCUGCAUUUCAACUACGCGGUGCAUAUUUUCAAAUUUGAUUCGAAUCAUGUGCUAGUUCCUCCAGUGUCCAUUCUCGUCCAGUGUUCUGUGAGUGGGAAAACCUUGUGGCCGACCGAAACGACAAAACUAAGCCAAGAAGAAACCUCAAACAUAGUUGAAGAUAUUGUGGAAAAAACGCCGUCAUCAUCUACUCUGUGUAUAGACUGGAUAGGAGCAGACCCAGUGUGGAGAGCCAUCAACCACCCUGGAGCCACUUACAGCCUCCCUCCCUACCCCGGACUCGCUGAACCCGCACGGUGGUCCAGGAGGACAGGGGCUGAAUAACGCGGGUCCCGGUCCGGGCACGCCGCUUUACCCUGGUCCGUCACCUGGACCGGGCCCCGGCCCGAAUCCGGGAUUCGCCACACCUACUCACGGAGGGGGCGGAGGCGGUCACACGCCACUUCCUGGACAAGGUAGUCACUUCGUCCACGGACCGCCUAGCUACAACUCAUCCCCCGUACCACCUGGGCCCUCCACUCCUGGCCAAGGAGGUGGCAAUUCCAAUCAUUUUCCAUCGCCAGGACCCGGUUAUAAUCCACAGGGAGGACCUGGAGGACCGGGUCCACAUUUUAACGGACCUUCAGGCGCUCCACCUCCGUUUAGCUCGCCCUACCCCAGUCCCGGAAGCGUCGGCCCUGGUCCAGGCGGAAAUUCGGGACCUCAUCCUCCUCAGGGACACCCGGGAUUUCCAGGUGGCUCACAUCCACAGUUCGGGCCCGGACCUAACGGCGGGCCAGGUGGCCAUCCGGGUUUCGGUGGGCACCCAGGACACGGCCCAGGGAUGCCAAGUGUGAUGGCAAGCCCUAUGGGUGGGCCAGGAGGAAUGGGGGGUCAUCCGCCUAACAUGGGAGGUGUGGGGCCUCCAAUGGGCGGACCUGGAUCAGGACCAGGAGGACCCAACCCUGGAAUGGGACCGAUGGGUGGCCCUGGCCCCAUGGGUGGAAUGGGAGGACCAGGAGGACCUAUCGGAGGUCCAAUGGGUGGCCCACCUGGCCCAAUGGGAGGACCCGGAGAGAGAAUAGACCAACAUCCUGGAGGUCCACCGUUCUUCAACAGAAGGCAUCCCGGUCCUUAUUUCAACCAGCCAGACUACAGAAUUUACGAACUUAACAAACGGUUGCAACAGAGGACUGAAGUAGUUGCAAUGGAAAGUGAUAACCUUUGGUGGGAUGCCUUUGCCACCGAAUUCUUCGAGGACGAUGCCACGCUUACAUUAACAUUUUGUCUAGAAGACGGGCCUAAACGAUACACUAUCGGCCGGACGUUGAUUCCACGCUAUUUCCGUACCAUCUUUGAGGGAGGUGUCACCGAAUUGAACUAUCAGCUGCGACACGCGAAAGAAUCCUUCCAUCAGACAACUAUAACUUUAGACUGCGAUCAAUGCACCAUGGUUACUCAGCACGGAAAGCCCAUGUACACUAAAGUCUGUACGGAGGGACGUUUGAUAUUAGAAUUUACCUUUGACGAUUUGAUGCGAAUCAAGUCGUGGCAUUUUGCUGUCCGGACACACCGAGAGCUCGUUCCCAGAUCGGUCCUGGGCAGCCAAGAUCCUUCACUUUUAGAUCAAAUGAGCAAAAAUGUCACCAGACAAGGCAUCACACCCGCCACACUCAACUAUUUAAGAUUGUGCGUCAUUCUGGAACCGAUGCAGGAGCUUAUGUCAAGACACAAGGCCUAUGCGCUGAGUCCACGCGAUUGUCUCAAAACUACUCUUUUCCAAAAGUGGCAAAGGAUGGUUGCUCCACCCGAAACUCAAAGGCCGCCAAACAAACGACGUAAGAGAAAAGGAUCGCAGACUGGUGGAGGUGCAGGAAUAAAUCAAGCUCAGCCAGCAGCCCCCAACAAGAAACGAUCACCUGGCCCAAAUUUCUCUCUAGCAUCUCAGGAUGUCAUGGUAGUUGGAGAGCCGUCGUUAAUGGGUGGUGAAUUCGGCGAUGAAGACGAGAGAUUAAUAACUCGAUUAGAGAACACCCAGUAUGACCCAGCCGUCUCACUAGACGAUCCUUCUGGUGGUGGUGGAGGGGGUCCUCCUUCCGCUCCUCCGUCCCAAUUCAACAGUGGGCCGCCUGCUGAACUUGGCUGCAGGACCUCAGGGACCGAACGAUCCCAGUCCGUGGGGCGUGGUUCCAAAGCAGGGCGGCGGAAAUAAAGGUGGUGGGGGAGACGCAGGGAAGAAAAGCCCAGCAGUAAGCCAGUGAGAAGAAAUCUUUUAAAAACUACAUUCAGGCGAAUCUCUCAAAUCAGUCCCUCGUAGAAAAUGAAGCCGAAUUAUUAUCCAUCAUUUUUUAGUCUUCAUGCGAUUGCCAAAAAUGAGGGACUGAUCCUCUGUUUUUCUUUCUGUGGUUUUCAUAUGAGAAAACGAAACAAAUUCACCACCAUCUGAUUGGCAGCCAAAUCUGUGGAAUCAUUUCUGUAUACAAAUGUGCAAAUGAUUUGGUGUUAAGAAAAAUGGCCUCCUGUGUCCAUCCCAUAAAAUACUUGAUGUUCUCCUUGCCCUUUUGUCUCUUCCUCGCCCCGUGCACCCCGUUCCAAUGGGGAUCCUUUUAUUAUUAUUAUAAUCAGUGUCAAUGAAAUGUCAUAGAGCGUGCAAAUGGGUCUGUCGUAUGUACUGUGUAUUGUGGUGACAUCUUUUGAAUCUAUCACCCCUCCCUCAUCCCUUCUCACCCAUCUCCUUUUCGUUUCCAAUUCUGUUCCCCUCCCACUUUUUUUUUAAUUCAGUGAACCGGAAGAUAAAGUGACAAUACAACUUUACCCAUUGUUA